rnacentral:rRNA from 1 species
UACGUAGGGGGCAAGCGUUGUCCGGAAUCAUUGGGCGUAAAGCGCGUGUAGGCGGCUUGGUAAGUCCGCUCUGAAAGCCCGGGGCUCAACCCCGGGAGGCGGGUGGAUACUAUCAAGCUCGAGUCCGGAAGAGGCGAGUGGAAUUCCUGGUGUAGCGGUGAAAUGCGCAGAUAUCAGGAGGAACACCAAUGGCGAAGGCAGCUCGCUGGGACGUGACUGACGCUGAGACGCGAAAGCGUGGGGAGCAAACAGG